AGUCACAUAUUCAAGAUAGGAGAAGGUCAAGAUCGACCCUGGGAACGAGGCUACGUGCCGAUUGCGUUGGCAUAUAGUGGAUCACUGGCUAUUUUGUCCCCGUGCCGUUUGAGAAGCCUCGCUUGUUGUUGGAUUUAAGUGAGCCCAGUUUUAAUAUUAAACAGGGACCUACAAUUAAGUUAUGCAUGACUUACAACUGACCUUUCAUGGCAUCCCAUAUUGUAAACACAACUGUCAUCUGGAUGGAGUCAAGAACCCUCAUUGAGCUUUUUAACAGUGGCUCCCUGCCUGUGUUCCAAGCAUACUCAAGACACAUCUUACAUUCAGACGAAAUGCUUUUUUCACUCAAUGUCUUCUCUGAAAAGCAGUCCUUCCGAUGCUCGAAACCUGUUUUCUUUGUUACUCCAAGCCUUCACUGUCCUCGUGGUUGGUCUCUAUGAUGGAGACCAAGUGUGCUGAUCUUUGAUUUGAUGAAGUCUUCACCUCUGCAGAAGCAAUCUGCUACCAAAGUCUUUCUCUCACUUAACAGAAAUUUCUGUAUUUAGGGACUUCGACUCAAAUGUGAGUGUCAUUUUUGGAAAAUGUAGAAUAGCAUAUCCUUUGGAUUCGUUGUGUAGUCCACAUGUUGAUACUAAAGGAUAUGUUGAUAUGUGUCUUGCCUUCUUUCUCCCAUUGCCAAUCCUGUAUCAGUUAAGUUCCUGCUUUCUUUUGUUUGUUCUUUGAGACCACUGCUAUACUCAAGACACUCAGCAGGAUUAUCACUGUGUUUCACAUUCAUGGUAACAUGCUUGCUUUUCCUAAUGUUAGCAGUUAGGAGACCACCUACCGGAUGUAUCUGCAUCAGUAUAUCAAGUGUGCCUGAUCAUCGUCACUGAGGAGUCAUGCCAAGUAGGCAUAAUGCUUUUGCCUUGACCCUUUUGCAAGAGCCUGUCAUCAAUCUGCUGCAUAGCUUCCUCAGACGGUCGAUAUGAGUAUCCAGAAAUAAUUAAUUCCAAAAGCCUGAUAUGUAAAUGUAUUUCCAGGCGAUCUGAACACAAGCACCACUUCACUAGAGAGAACUGAUGUUCUGAGGCUGGAACAACAUAGAAGGGACAAUCACAUACAAGGCCUCAAGUUGCCUAAGAAAUUAACCAUGAAAGAUGGAAGUCACUGAAAAGGUUAGCCAGCUGUAGGACUCGAACCCACAUCUUCUGGAUUACCGAUUACCAAUCCAGAAGGUGUGGGUUCGAGUCCUACAGCCUGCUAACGUUUUCAGUGACUUCCAUAUUUCAUGCAGCAUUUUUACCACUUUCCCUUGUUGCUUUUUUGCAUCCUCCUCCUUUUCCAGCAUCAGAUGUCCAUAUUCUCUGUUACGAAGGAGAGGUGUUUUUUGUAAAAGCUUACCACAGUGUACCGAGGUACUGAACCUUACAAGUGUUCUAGGCCCAUAAUGGCGCGUGCCAUUCUUUAUAUGUGAAAACCUCAGCUCAGCCAACAAAGUCAUCCUAAGGGAGGCCGGAAUAUAUGCAAAGCAACACAAUUUUGCAUUUAUAUGAGUUUGCUACGCCCCAUAUUUCUGAGACAGAGUGAACGAGAUAAGGUGCAUCGUAUCAUGCACAGACAUGACCUCUCACUGCUGUAGGUCGGCCCACUCUGAUGUUCUGUUCUUUUUUCAUGACUAGUUUUUCUUUAGAUGACAUAGGUUCUGUGAUCGAUACACACUCAUCAUCAAUUCUUCUGAGUAUCCGAAGUGCGAACAAACAUUUUAACAAACUUUUAGCAAUUUUUCGAACACUGGUAAUGUGUAAUGGGUAGCGUAAACACUGGUGCGGCCCCUCUUCCUAGAGGAACCGCAUGUUAAAACGUGUGGCACAUAGAGAACAUAGAGAACAGAACAUCAGAGUGGGCCGACCUACAGCAGUGAGAGGUCAUGUCUGUGCAUGAUACGAU